CGUUCCAUUCCAAAGCAGCAGCAGCAGCAGCAGGUGGUGAUCUAUAGUUAUCAAGUAAGAAUGGAGGAAUGCCUUAAUCAAACAAUGUUCUUUUUCUCUAGGACAUGCAUGCAUGAAAGACGGCGAUCCCAUACGAUCUAUUGAAGCUUGCAGUAAAACUGGGGGAUUUUGCACUAAUGAGUCUAAAUGCAACUCACCUUACCCAUCCCAAGGAACAUGUGGAGAAGGCACAUUAUGCUGUUUACCAGCUUAUGGAGAGUAAGGUGGAGAGAAACAUUUGCUUAUUUCAGCAACUGAUAUUACCCAGAUUAAUAGAUUGAUCUGCUGUUGUUUGGCUUCCAGAAAAUACUUGAUUGGAAUUGAUUUUUUUUUUUGGAAAACAACAACAACAACAACAACCCUGUGUACUAUUUUGAAUAAAAUGUAAUAUGUUGCUGGGAAA